GCCGGGCAUGGUGGCACAUGCCUGUAGUCCCAGCUACUCAGGAGGCUGAAAUGCGAGGAUUGCUUGAGCCCAGGAGUUCUGGGCUGUAGUGCGUUAUGCCGAUUGGGUGUUUGCACUAAGUUUGGCAUCAAUAUGGUGACCUCCCGGGAGCAGGGGACCACCAGGUUGCCUAAGGAGAGGUGAACUGGCCCAGGUCAGAAACGGAGCAGGUCAAAACUCCCGUGCUGAUCAGUAGUGGGAUCGCUCCUGUGAAUAGCCAUUGCACUCCAGCCUGGGCAACAUAGCGAGACCCUGUCUCUU
ensembl:misc_RNA Metazoa_SRP Metazoan signal recognition particle RNA